AUGAGUUUCAGAACAUCCUAGAAGCUGAAUGCUAAUUACCAUGCAUGAAACUCCAUUGGUGAGACAACAUGCUUAAGGAGAUAAUCUUGAUUUCUUCCCUAGUCACUCCAGCUCUAUAAAUUCGUGCCUUCUGAAGCCCCUGGGGUCCUAGGACACUAAACUUAGACUCAGAAACGUGAGAGACAGAAUGAGAAGCUCUCAGCCCCUCUCUAAUUCAAGAUUUAAGCUCCAAAACUUCAUAUAUUCGAAUCUCCCUUUCCUCUCAUCCAAAUCACUCCAAAUUUGUCCCUAUGUGUUUCUGGAAGUUCAUAGAGUAUUUAUUGUCGCAAUUUGAAGAGUUCUGGGCAAGAAAUCGUGAAGAACAAGAACCUGCAAGUUCUCCGGCGAGUCUACCCAGAUUUCGGCGAGGUUGAGCGACCUGCAACUCGCAUUUUCUCCUUCCUCCGAUCGACCCACUGCACGAAACCACCACCAUUAUCUUCCUGGAAGCGAGCAGGAUCUGCACAUGGUACCAGAUCGCUCAAAACCCGUGGAAAACGCAGCUCCGAUCAUCUUCUCCGGCGAGCUCUCUCGCCGGAAAAAUCGUGAAACUCCAUUCUGAUGGAGCGUAGGGACCGUAACGAAUACAUGAACUCCUACUACAAAGACAUGCCCGUGUUUCAAAACUUAAUCAACAUUGUCCUACACUUUGAAAGCUUUCCUGGCUGGGAUGCGGUAGUGGAAGUGCUCCCUUAUUGUCCCAAGCUUCAAACUCUUGGCAUUGAAAAGUAUUAUGACCGACAAUAUUUUUCCAAAGAGAAAUCGGCAUAUACAGAAGAACCUGUUCCACGAUGUGUUUCACUAAAUCUCAGAAAAUGCUUUAUUGUAAACUAUAUAGACAUGCCUGAGGAUUUUAAAUUUGCAGAAUAUAUCAUGAAGAAUGCGAAGUUUUUACAAGUGAUGACUCUUCAUGCUGGCCACGUGGAGAAAUCUGUCAAGGACCGAUUCUUCAAACAAAUAUCACAGUGCCCGAGGAUCUCUUCGGCAUGUAAAAUUGAAUGCAAGUAGUCCUUGAAUAUCAGUUUUUGGUUUUUUUUCUUCCAUCUGAAUGUUUGAAGGAGAUGAUGGUCUUCGUGUACUUAAUACAAGUUAUGGAUAAUGAGUGUGCUUAAAUUACUAUCAUGUAGUAUGGACAUAGUGAUUAAAAAUUGCUUCUCCAUUAUAAACCUCUCUUAUUAAUGAAGAAUAUUGUAAGAUUGAGAUUAGAUUGACAGAUUGUAAUACAUAAGAAGACAUCC